rnacentral:rRNA from 1 species
ACACAUGCAAGUCGAACGAGAGAGAAGGAGCUUGCUUCUUCGAUCGAGUGGCGAACGGGUGAGUAACGCGUGAGGAACCUGCCUCAAAGAGGGGGACAACAGUUGGAAACGACUGCUAAUACCGCAUAAGCCCACGGAUCGGCAUCGAUCUGAGGGAAAAGGAGCAAUCCGCUUUGAGAUGGCCUCGCGUCCGAUUAGCUAGUUGGUGAGGUAAUGGCCCACCAAGGCGACGAUCGGUAGCCGGACUGAGAGGUUGAACGGCCACAUUGGGACUGAGACACGGCCCAGACUCCUACGGGAGGCAGCAGUGGGGAAUAUUGCACAAUGGGGGAAACCCUGAUGCAGCGACGCCGCGUGGAGGAAGAAGGUCUUCGGAUUGUAAACUCCUGUUGUUGAGGAAGAUAAUGACGGUACUCAACAAGGAAGUGACGGCUAACUACGUGCCAGCAGCCGCGGUAAAACGUAGGUCACAAGCGUUGUCCGGAAUUACUGGGUGUAAAGGGAGCGCAGGCGGGAAGACAAGUUGGAAGUGAAAUCUAUGGGCUCAACCCAUAAACUGCUUUCAAAACUGUUUUUCUUGAGUAGUGCAGAGGUAGGCGGAAUUCCCGGUGUAGCGGUGGAAUGCGUAGAUAUCGGGAGGAACACCAGUGGCGAAGGCGGCCUACUGGGCACCAACUGACGCUGAGGCUCGAAAGUGUGGGUAGCAAACAGGAUUAGAUACCCUGGUAGUCCACACCGUAAACGAUGAUUACUAGGUGUUGGAGGAUUGACCCCUUCAGUGCCGCAGUUAACACAAUAAGUAAUCCACCUGGGGAGUACGACCGCAAGGUUGAAACUCAAAGGAAUUGACGGGGGCCCGCACAAGCAGUGGAGUAUGUGGUUUAAUUCGACGCAACGCGAA